AGUGAACGCUGGCGGUAGGCCUAACACAUGCAAGUCGAACGGCAGCACAGUAAGAGCUUGCUCUUACGGGUGGCGAGUGGCGGACGGGUGAGGAAUACAUCGGAAUCUACUUUUUCGUGGGGAUAACGUAGGGAAACUUACGCUAAUACCGCAUACGACCUACGGGUGAAAGCAAGGGAUCUUCGGACCUUGCGCGAUUGAAUGAGCCGAUGUCGGAUUAGCUAGUUGGCGGGGUAAAGGCCCACCAAGGCGACGAUCCGUAGCUGGUCUGAGAGGAUGAUCAGCCACACUGGAACUGAGACACGGUCCAGACUCCUACGGGAGGCAGCAGUGGGGAAUAUUGGACAAUGGGCGUAAGCCUGAUCCAGCCAUACCGCGUGGGUGAAGAAGGCCUUCGGGUUGUAAAGCCCUUUUGUUGGGAAAGAAAAGCAGCAGGUUAAUACCCCGCUGUUCUGACGGUACCCAAAGAAUAAGCACCGGCUAACUUCGUG
rnacentral:rRNA from 1 species